GACGAACGCUGGCGGCGUGCUUAACACAUGCAAGUCGAACGGAAAGGCCCUGCUUUUGUGGGUUGCUCGAGUGGCGAACGGGUGAGUAACACGUGAGUAACCUGCCCUUGCCUUUGGGAUAACUUCAGGAAACUGGGGCUAAUACCGGAUAGGAGCUCCUGCUGCAUGGUGGGGGUGGGAAAGUUUCGGCGGUUGGGGAUGGACUCGCGGCUUAUCAGCUUGUUGGUGGGGUAGUGGCUUACCAAGGCUUUGACGGGUAGCCGGCCUGAGAGGGUGACCGGCCACAUUGGGACUGAGAUACGGCCCAGACUCCUACGGGAGGCAGCAGUGGGGAAUAUUGCACAAUGGGCGGAAGCCUGAUGCAGCAACGCCGCGUGCGGGAUGACGGCCUUCGGGUUGUAAACCGCUUUCGCCUGUGACGAAGCGUGAGUGACGGUAAUGGGUAAAGAAGCACCGGCUAACUACGUG
rnacentral:rRNA from 1 species